rnacentral:tRNA from 1 species
UGGGGUAUAGCCAAGCGGUAAGGCAUCGGACUCUGACUCCGACAUUCGGUGGUUCGAAUCCAUCUACCCCAGCCA